rnacentral:lncRNA from 1 species
UACACCAAUACAUUGCCUAAAUUUCACCUAUAUAUACAACAAAAUCUAAGAAACUUUCAAAGUUAUAAAUAUAUUUUUAUUUUUCAAAUUAUCAUCCCAUCAAGAACAUCAUUAAUUUUAAAAAUCCUUCAAAAUCUAAAUAUUGAAUCAAAUGACAUGAAAACAAUUCCUAAAAAUCUUACUUCUAAUUUUCUCCCAAAUUCUACUCUCCAAUUUUCCAAAGAAUCCUAAAGUCAUGAUAUGGAUGCAGUUUUGUGCCUUAGUGUCUAAUUUUGAUAUAGGUUGAUAAUUAGUCCUCUUCGGGCAUUAAUUUUUGA